AAAGUCGUAACAAGGUCUCCGUAGGUGAACCUGCGGAGGGAUCAUUAACGAAUGGUCUCUUUUUGACCGUCCACCUUCAAAACCUGUGGAAGCAAGAUGUGCUUCGGCGACCCCCUCCGGGGUCUGCCGCAUUUAUGCUGUCUAGUGUUUGUGUCUGAAUAGAAUCUAAAAAUCAAAACUUUCAACAAAGGAUCUCUUGGCUCUC
rnacentral:misc_RNA from 1 species